CCCUUAGAUGUUCUGGGCCGCACGCGCGCUACACUGACGAUGGCAACGAGUUUUUCCUUCGCCGAAAGGUGUGGGUAAUCUUUUGAAACAUCGUCGUGCUGGGGAUAGAUCAUUGCAAUUUUUGAUCUUGAACGAGGAAUUCCUAGUAAGCGCGAGUCAUCAGCUCGCGUUGAUUACGUCCCUGCCCUUUGUACACACCGCCCGUCGCUACUACCGAUUGAAUGGUUUAGUGAGGACUUCUGAUUGGCGCCGCCGCCCCGGCAACGGAGCAGCGGACUGCCGAAAAGUUGUUCAAACUUGAUCAUUUAGAGGAAGUAAAAGUCGUAACA
rnacentral:rRNA from 1 species